rnacentral:rRNA from 1 species
GGAUUAGAUACCCUGGUAGUCCACGCCGUAAACGUUGGGCGCUAGGUGUGGGACCCUAUCCACGGGCUCCGUGCCGCAGCUAACGCAUUAAGCGCCCCGCCUGGGGAGUACGGCCGCAAGGCUAAAACUCAAAGGAAUUGACGGGGGCCCGCACAAGCGGCGGAGCAUGCGGAUUAAUUCGAUGCAACGCGAAGAACCUUACCAAGGCUUGACAUAUACCGAAAACCUCUGGAGACAGGGGGUCCGCAAGGGCGGUAUACAGGUGGUGCAUGGUUGUCGUCAGCUCGUGUCG